GACGAACGCUGGCGGCGUGCUUAACACAUGCAAGUCGAACGGAAAGGCCCUGCUUUUGUGGGGUGCUCGAGUGGCGAACGGGUGAGUAACACGUGAGUAACCUGCCCUUGACUUUGUGAUAACUUCAGGAAACUGGGGCUCAUACCGGAUAGGAGCUCCUGCUGCAUGGUGGGGGUUGGAAAGUUUCGGCGGUUGGGGAUGGACUCGCGGCUUAUCAGCUUGUUGGUGGGGUAGUGGCUUACCAAGGCUUUGACGGGUAGCCGGCCUGAGAGGGUGACCGGCCACAUUGGGAUUGAGAUACGGCCCAGACUCCUACGGGAGGCAGCAGUGGGGAAUAUUGCACAAUGGGCGGAAGCCUGAUGCAGCAACGCCGCGUGCGGGAUGACGGCCUUCGGGUUGUAAACCGCUUUCGCCUGUGACGAAGCGUGAGUGACGGUAAUGGGUAAAGAAGCACCGGCUAACUACGUG
rnacentral:rRNA from 1 species